rnacentral:ncRNA from 1 species
AAGCUACCGUGUGCCGGAUUAUGACUGAAUGCCUCUAGGUCAGAAUCCAAGCUAGCAUGUGACCCCUGCGCCCGUUGCUUGCCUCGACCCACGUUAGGGGUGCUUGCGCCGCAACGGCUCGUGCCAUUGGCUAAGCCAGUCCGACCGACGUGAUGUGACCGGCCACCUCGAAGCUCCCUUCCCAAAGGGCGGUGGUCUAAAUCCUUUGCAGACGACUUAAAUACGCGAUGGGGCAUUGUAAGUGUCAGAGCGGCCUUGGUGGCACGAUCCACUGAGAUCCAGCCCCAUGUCGCAUGGAUUCAU